rnacentral:rRNA from 1 species
GAUGAACGCUAGCGGGAGGCCUAACACAUGCAAGCCGAGCGGUAUCGUUUCUUCGGAAAUGAGAGAGCGGCGUACGGGUGCGGAACACGUGUGCAACCUGCCUUUAUCUGGGGGAUAGCCUUUCGAAAGGAAGAUUAAUACUCCAUAAUAUAUUGAUUGGCAUCAAUUAAUAUUGAAAGCUCCGGCGGAUAGAGAUGGGCACGCGCAAGAUUAGCUAGUUGGUGAGGUAACGGCUCACCAAGGCGAUGAUCUUUAGGGGGCCUGAGAGGGUGAUCCCCCACACUGGUACUGAGACACGGACCAGACUCCUACGGGAGGCAGCAGUGAGGAAUAUUGGUCAAUGGGUGCAAGCCUGAACCAGCCAUCCCGCGUGAAGGACGACUGCCCUAUGGGUUGUAAACUUCUUUUGUAUAGGGAUAAACCUACCCUCGUGAGGGUAGCUGAAGGUACUGUACGAAUAAGCACCGGCUAACUCCGUGCCAGCAGCCGCCGUAAAAC